rnacentral:rRNA from 1 species
GACGAACGCUGGCGGCGUGCUUAACACAUGCAAGUCGAACGGAAAGGCCCUGCUUUUGUGGGGUGCUCGAGUGGCGAACGGGUGAGUAACACGUGAGUAACCUGCCCUUGACUUUGGGAUAACUUCAGGAAACUGGGGCUAAUACCGGAUAGGAGCUCCUGCUGCAUGGUGGGGGUUGGAAAGUUUCGGCGGUUGGGGAUGGACUCGCGGCUUAUCAGCUUGUUGGUGGGGUAGUGGCUUACCAAGGCUUUGACGGGUAGCCGGCCUGAGAGGGUGACCGGCCACAUUGGGACUGAGAUACGGCCCAGACUGCUACGGGAGGCAGCAGUGGGGAAUAUUGCACAAUGGGCGGAAGCCUGAUGCAGCAACGCCGCGUGCGGGAUGACGGCCGUCGGGUUGUAAACCGCUUUCGCCUGUGACGAAGCGUGAGUGACGGUAAUGGGUAAAGAAGCACCGGCUAACUACGUG